rnacentral:rRNA from 1 species
GUCGAGUGGACAUGCGCCGACAAUUCACGGGGCUAAGCGAUGCGCCGAAGCGGCGGAAUGUAUUUACAUUGGUAGGGGAGCUUCCCCUGCGCGGCGAAGCCGGAGGGCGACCGACGGUGGAGCGCAGGGGAGUGAGGAUGCUGGCAUGAGUAACGAGAGCGGCGCGGGAAACGCCGCCGCCGUAAGCCCAAGGUUUCCUGGGCAAGGCUAAUCCUCCCAGGGUCAGUCGGGAGCUAAGGCGAGGCCGGAAGGCGUAGCCGAUGCGCAACAGGCGGACAUUCCUGUACCGCCUCGGGACCGCUACGACCGAAGGGGCGACGGAGAAGGGUACGCAGGCGGGGUUCUGGACGCCCCCGUGAAAGCGUGUAGGCCGCAGGGCAGGCAAAUCCGCCCUGCGCACAAGGCCGAGACGCGAGACGAAGCCUUAUGGCGAAGCUGCGGAGCCCACGCUCCCUGGAAAAACCCCUAGGCAGGGCCCGAGGCGCCCGUACCAAAACCGACACAGGUGGGCGGGUAGAGCAUACCGAGGCGAUCGGGGGAACCAUGGUCAAGGAACUCGGCAUAAUCGCUCCGUAACUUCGGGAGAAGGAGUGCCGCUGCAGGUGGAGGGACGCGCUCCCCGAGCCCGCGGCGGCCGCAGCGAAACGGCCCAAGCGACUGUUUACCAAAAACACAGGACUCUGCCAACCCGCGAGGGGAAGUAUAGGGUCUGACGCCUGCCCGGUGCCGGAAGGUUACGCGGAUGCGUUAGCACUCGUGCGAAGCGCUGAAGCCAAGCCCCGGUAAACGGCGGCCGUAACUAUAACGGUCCUAAGGUAGCGAAAUUCCUUGUCGGGUAAGUUCCGACCUGCACGAACGGCGUAACGACUUGGGCGCUGUCUCGACCAUGGACCCGGUGAAAUUGCACUAUUCGUGAAGAUGCGAAUUACCUGCGGAAGGACGGAAAGACCCCGUGAACCUUCACUGCAGCUUGGCAUUGGCCGUUGGCUCGGCGCGUAGAGGAUAGGCAGGAGGCAAUGAAACCGGGGCGCCAGCCCCGGCGGAGCCGCCCUUGGAAUACUGCCCCCUCCGUUCCGGCGGCCUAACGCGGCGCCUUGAACCAGGGCCGCGGACCGUGCCAGGCGGGUAGUUUGACUGGGGCGGUCGCCUCCCAAAACGUAACGGAGGCGCGCAAAGGUCCGCUCAGGACGGUCGGCAACCGUCCCGAGAGCGCAAGAGUGCAAGCCAGCUUGACUGCGAGGCGGACGGGCCGAGCAGGUGCGAAAGCAGGCUCUAGUGAUCCGGCGGCCCAGAGUGGAAUGGCCGUCGCUCAAC